AAGUUAUUUCGCUCUGCAAGGGACACUCAAGUAUCAAAGAAUAAAUUUAACAACAUAUCAUGGGUCCGAGUACAGUGUCCUCGCCAAGAAAAUGGUAUAGAUUGCGGGUACUUUGUGAUGAGGUUUAUGAAAGAGAUUCUCAUUUCAAAACUAAAUGAGAUUCCAAAGCUGUACAUUGAGGGUUUCAAGUGUGUGACAUACUCAAAUGAUAAACUAAGAGAAAUCCAAGAAGAAUGGUGUCAGUUCAUGAUGAGCCUUUUGUUUAUAUGAUAUUUUUAUGAUAAGGGUGGUGGAGAGUGAACGA